GCUCAACCGUAAACUUUAAAUUACACCCAUCUCGCCCGGGAACUACGAGCAAAGCUUAAAACCCAAAGGACUUGACGGUACCCCACAUCCACCUAGAGGAGCCUGUCCUAUAAUUGAUAACCCCCGCUUAACCUCACCAUUUUUAGCUUAUCAGCCUGUAUACCUCCGUCGUCAGCUUACCACGUGAGCGACCCUCAGUAAGCUUGAUGCCCAUACGCCAACACGUCAGGUCAAGGUGCAGCAAAUAAAAUGGGAAGAGAUGGGCUACACUCUCUAUUCUAGAAAACACGGAAGACUAUUUAUGAAACCUAGUCAAAAGGCGGAUUUAGUAGUAAAAAGAGACAAGAGUGCUCUUUUUAACACGGCACUGGGGUGUGUACACACCGCCCGUCACCCUCUUCGAAGCUAACACAAAGUUUUUAACACUCUUAAGCACUACAGAAGAGGCAAGUCGUAACAUGGUAAGUAUACCGGAAGGUGUGCUUGGAAA
rnacentral:rRNA from 1 species